rnacentral:lncRNA from 1 species
GCGGUGAGAUCUACAGGAGAACUCAGGGCGGAUGUCUGCCGGGUGCGCGUUGGGCUUUCUGGUCGCUUCUCUGCGAACGCGCGCUUGUUCCUGCGGCGGUGCCUGCCUGUGUCGUCGUCCCUGUUUGUUCUUCUUCAAACCUCAGGAUUUCUCCGUGUUUCCCAGACCGUUCCAAAGGUGGAAACACAGAUGACAGAUUUUUGGUCUUUUCGUCAUUUCCUAUAUAUGUGUUCAAUGGUUUAGAAUAGUUCACCAGUGAAGUCAUCUCAACCAGCACAGGGCCUUGACUCCUAACAACAAUCACACGAACUUGGAAGAGGAGCCUUCCCCAACUGAACCUUCGCUUGAGACCUCGUCCUUGGCCAUCCUCUACAUCUGGAUUCAUGAUACAGAGAAACUUGAGUAAUGAUGACACUAGCAGUCCAGCCUGCAUGGAUGCUGACAUGGAUGCUGUCUCCCAUUCUUACCACUGGAUGGGAAGAAAUGCUAGAUGCAAUCCAGCCAGUCUGUACUCGACUGUCAGUUCCAUCUUCUCAACUCACAGUGUCUUCCAAAGUCCGUGCCACACCACAGCCUGGAACAUCUCCCAAGGUUUCAAAUAAUUCAUCAGUGAAUUCUUCUCAACCUGGUCAAUCAUGUGAACUUAGAAGAUGAUUCCUCCCCAGCUGAUCCUCAGGUGAGACAUCAGCCUUGGCCAUCAUCUACAUCUGGAUUCCUGACCCAGAGAAACUGGAACACUAAGACCCAUUCUUCUUCUCAAGUAUCCAAAAAUAAAGUUGAUCCAAGUAAGAAGUGGACAGCAUAAAAGAUUGUAUGGAAGCUAUAAUGCAUCUACAUCUGCAGUAACUAAUCAUAAAAUGAUUUGUAUGAUCAUUCUUCACAUGAUUAGAAUUACUAUGGGAAAGAAGAAAAAGAAAUGCCUCUCUGGAUGGUGACUAUAACCUAUAGCCUUGCCCAAUAUGACUCAGGAUUUGGUACUGGCUGUGCCUUUCAUGGGAUGCUUACUUAUCCUGGUCGAUGGCCUAAAGCCCAACCGUCCAGCUUAUAUCCAGGG